rnacentral:pre_miRNA from 1 species
UUUACAAUGACGACACACCCUUAUAAAUCAUCCUUGCACUACUUAUGUCGUACAUUGAUGAUUUAUGAAGGUGUGUUGCUGACUCUGC